AAAAUAUGAACAGAUACAGCUUCAUGCUUUCAGGAAACCACCUUCUCUUCCAUCUUCUCCUUUGGCCUGCUCAGACAGCCAGACUUCUUAAACAUAUUUUUCCUACAGGCUCAUGCAAAUUAAGGGAUGUGGCUGAGCAUCUCCUUCAGUGCCCUCAAACAGGUCAUGAAUGUUGCAAAGCCCAGAAUCGUGCUAACCUGGUAGAAGGCUGGUUUAGCCAGAACACACAGAGAGGACCUUCUCAUGAUGGUGUGGCUGAAUUCCACAUGUCACUAACAGUAUCUUGCCCUGACCCGACUCCAAGUACUGAUCCCCAAGGAAGGCAUAAUAGAGAGCCCAUCUUGGGGAGGGAUGAUGACUUCAUGUGCAAACAAGUCAAAUUCAGGAUGUGUGUUGUGGGCAGAGAUGGCAAUGCCCAGUCAUCUGUUAGGUAUACAGGUCCGCUGUACAGGAGAAAAAUCAGAACAGAAUUUCUAUUUGUAGUGUUUCUUUUAGAGACUAGGGAAUUGAAACCACAGGUGAAUAAGAAUGUACAAGGAACCAGGCCUUCUUGAAGAAAUAGCUGAACCAGAUUGGUGUCAGGAGCUGUACAAGGGGAUCCAAGAAUGUCUUGUCAUACAAGCCGGACAGCUAUUAAAGACAACUGAGGUCAUGGCAAAAGGGCCCAGGCUUCUACUGGCCAACAAUGAGACAAUUUGAGCAUCCCAAAGAAUAAUGACUUUAGUGGACUGAAACACAUCAACAUGUAUACAUCCAUGAAUUCAUAAUACUCAAAACGGUAAAACCAAACUCAUUUGUUACCUUUGGAGGAGUCUGUCACCUCUGAUUAUUCUGAAAACUGGUAAAUAGAAGGGGAAAAUUCAAGCAUUUAUUCUGCUUUUCUUGUAUAAACUGUACCUCACAGUUACGGAAGAGCUGAUAAGGGAAAUGUCUUCUUUAUUGAAAAAUUCAGCUGAUACAUUUGGAAGGAAUGAGAGAAUUACAGUACCACCAUUAGGUGACAAUGAGGGUCUGGUUUUUUAUUUUUCUUUUGCUGAGUGCUGGGAACAUAGUGAUAACAAAAAAAGCCAUAGUGUUCUGGCCCUUCUGGAGUUUUGAUUCUAGCACAUUAACCAAAUAAUCCCAGAGCAAAAAUAAAAUGUCAACUAUGGUAAGUGUAGAGAAGGGAAAAUACACAGAACUUUUAACAGCUUAGAUCCGAGGAAGCUGACCAGCCUGCAAAAAGGGACAGCUUCCCUAGGGAAGUGACUUUGCAGCUGUGAUGAUGGAUGACUAAGAGUUAACCAAGGAAUGGGAGGAGGGAGGAGGAGACAGAGAAGGCUUUCCAAGCAGAAGCCAGAGCAUGUGCAAAGAUCCUGUGGCAAGAAGGAGCCUGGUGCAGGGGAGGAACGAAGAGACAUGCAAGCUGGCUGGAGUGCAGAGAGGGAGACAGGCAGGCAGGCAGGUGGUUGGAUGGGGAGGCAAGGAUCAGAUCCUGAGUCCCUUGGAGAAGCAGGAAGGCAUCAUGAUGACUAAUGUCAGAGGCAGGGGAGGACAGGUAGGGAUAGACAGGGAAGCAGUGCUGGGAAGAUGCUAAAAUGCUGCAGUUUGUGCUUGGAAAGAUCAUGGCCUGGUUCUUCCAUUGUCAUGAUGGGUUGUUCUCUUUCUUAUUGUUUUUCUAAUUUGUCUUGACUAAUGGAGAAGAUCAGGAGCUCAAAAAUAGAGGUUGUUUACAGCACUCAGUUUGGCUGCUAUAGGUUAAUGGGCUUAGACUCUUUAAGGGGAUUAGGCUUUUGCUCAGAGACCAGUGGAGUAUUCUAGCCAGGCUGUCUUGUGAAGGUGGUAUGUUAAGAACUAGGUUUGUCUGAUUUCUCAAAUUAAAAUGUGGUACAUCAAAUUAAAUUUGAAUUUCAGAUAAAUAACAACUAAUUUCAGAUGUGUCAGAUAAAGAAUGGAUAUGGCUCUAGUACAAUAUGGGAUAAUGAAUAUUUUCAGAUAAAUAGAUGCCCUGUAUUCUGUGUAGCAAGCAUAACUAGAGAAUCAAUGUUAGUGCUCAAACUAAGAAGACUUUUGAGAAAUUAUCAGAGGUAAAUACAAAUAUACAUUUCCAUCCAUCCAUCCAUCCAUCCAUCCAUCCAUCCAUCCAUCCAUCCAUCCAUCCCUGUUGAGCUCCAACUAUGUGUCAGGCACUUCUGGGGGGUUGAGGGUAUUGUGAUCAGUAAGACAAACUCUCUGCCUUUAUAGUGUUUACAUUCUAGGAGAAAAAUAUUCAUCUUAGAGAGAUUAUAAAAAACAAAUCUUCCGAAAUAGUAUCUGUUACGUCCAAAAUAGAGGAAUGUAUAAAUAAAUGUUAAUAUGAUGGACUAACACGCAGCCAUUACAAAAAUCCUGUUUUGAAGGCUAUUAAAUGUCAUGGUGAAUUGAUUCCAAUAUAAAACCAAAUGAAAUAAAAGCAGUUCACAAAACCACGCAUGAAGUAUGUAAAUUUUGUAAACCAAAAUUACAAGGUGACCUCAGUAUCUAGAAAAAUACACCAAUGGUGGCUGUAUCUGAGUGCUGCUAGAAUUAUUACUAACAUUUUAUUAUUUACAUUUGUAUUUUCUUUUUCACAGUUUCUACAAAGAAUUAUGGAUGAUUUUUAUAUUUAGAAAACCUUUUUUUAUUUGUGGACAUCUAUUACCUGUGGGCCCCACAGCAGCAUGGAAAAGAUUAAAGAUUUGUGUCAGCUUUGACGCUGCCGUUAAUUAUCAGGACAACCUACAGCAAGUCAUGCCAUUUAUCUGGGCCUCACUUUCUUUGGAUUUAAUUAUGGACUAAGCUGUGAUUUUCUGUGUAAUUAAGAACCAAACUAAAGUUUAAAAAAUAUGCCUUUGUUUUAUGGAAGAGUCCAGAGACACCAUCAUUAUACUGUGUGUCUUUAUAAAACCCAUAUACCUUAUUCUUUUGUUUUAUCUAGCUAUUAUAUUGUCUAUAACUUACUUUUAAAUAUUCUAGUAUAGACAGGUGUGUGUGUGUGUGUGCGUGUGUGUGUGUGUAUUCUUAAUCCUCUAUAAGGUUGUAGCUAAAAUUUAAAAUACUUUAACUGGACACACAUCUUUUAGGAGUGGUUGGUAGUGUUUGAAGGACUACUAUAAGGCCUUAAUGAUCUUUAUCUCUAGAGAGUUCUAGAAGGUUCCCUAAUUAGCCUAAUAAAUAAAAGAAGUUAUUUUGCACUGGAAAAUUAAGGAGUGUUGGAGAUAUGUGAUUUGGCUAGUGCUAUUUAAAGACACCCCUGUCCUUGCAUAAAUAGGGUUUAGGAAUCUAGUAAUCCUGGAUUACAAACUUUGUUUGGAGUGAUGCCUAAACCAGGUAUGCCAAUCUGUCUUGUGUCCACAUACUAACAGAGGGUUCUAGCAACUUAAUCCCAUUAGCAUGUUAGCUGAAGACUACUGCUAGAAUGCUGUUAUGUUUGUUUAGAGUUAAUAUUUCAUGGAAAUGUCUGAACCCUGGUACUGUAUUAAACUCAUAGAAAUGG